rnacentral:rRNA from 1 species
GACGAACGCUGGCGGCGUGCUUAACACAUGCAAGUCGAACGGAAAGGCCCUGCUUUUGUGGGGUGCUCGAGUGGCGAACGGGUGAGUAACGCGUGAGUAACCUGCCCUUGACAUUGGGAUAACUUCAGGAAACUGGGGCUAAUACCGGAUAGGAGCUCCUGCUGCAUGGUGGGGGUUGGAAAGUUUCGGCGGUUGGGGAUGGACUCGCGGCUUAUCAGCUUGUUGGUGGGGUAGUGGCUUACCAAGGCUUUGACGGGUAGCCGGCCUGAGAGGGUGACCGGCCACAUUGGGACUGAGAUACGGCCCAGACUCCUACGGGAGGCAGCAGUGGGGAAUAUUGCACAAUGGGCGGAAGCCUGAUGCAGCAACGCCGCGUGCGGGAUGACGGCCUUCGGGUUGUAAACCGCUUUCGCCUGUGACGAAGCGUGAGUGACGGUAAUGGGUAAAGAAGCACCGGCUAACUACGUG